rnacentral:rRNA from 1 species
CCUACGGGAGGCAGCAGUGGGGAAUAUUGGACAAUGGGGGCAACCCUGAUCCAGCCAUGCCGCGUGUGGAAGAAGGCCUUCGGGUUGUAAAGCACUUUUGUUGGGGAAGAAACCGGCCGGGUUAAUACCCUGGUUGAAUGCGGUACCCAAAGAAUAAGCACCGGCUAACUUCGUGCCAGCAGCCGCGGUAAUACGAAGGGUGCAAGCGUUACCGGAAUUACUGGGCGUAAAGCGUGCGUAGGCGGUUUGUUAAGUCUGCUGUGAAAGCCCUGGGCUCAACCUGGAACUGCAGUGGAUACUGGCGAGCUAGAGUGUGUCAGAGGAUGGUGGAAUUCCCGGUGUAGCGGUGAAAUGCGAGAGAUCGGGAGGAACACCAGUGGCGAAGGCGGCCAUCUGGGACAACACUGACGCUGAGGCACGAAAGCGUGGGAGCAAACAGGAUUAGAUACCCUGGUAGUCCACGCCCUAAACGAUGCGAACUGGACGUUGGGCACACUUAGUGCUCAGUGUCGAAGCUAACGCGUUAAGUUCGCCGCCUGGGGAGUACGGUCGCAAGACUGAAACUCAAAUGAUUGACGGA